GCCCCUGUAGUCUAGUCCGGUCAAGGAUACCGGCCUUUCGAGCCGGUGACCCGGGUUCGAAAAUAGAAACCUCCAGCGGGUUUCUAUGCAUCCAGCAACCAAAGUUCGGAAAUCCCGGCGGGGGCA
rnacentral:tRNA from 1 species